rnacentral:rRNA from 1 species
GGGGGAUAUUGCACAAUGGAGGAAACUCUGAUGCAGCAACGCCGCGUGAGGGAAGAAGGUCUUCGGAUUGUAAACCUUUGUCCUUGGUGACGAAACAAAUGACGGUAGCCAAGGAGGAAGCUCCGGCUAACUACGUGCCAGCAGCCGCGGUAAUACGUAGGGAGCAAGCGUUGUCCGGAUUUACUGGGUGUAAAGGGUGCGUAGGCGGCUCUGCAAGUCAGGCGUGAAAACUAUGGGCUUAACCCAUAGACUGCGUUUGAAACUGUGGAGCUUGAGUGAAGUAGAGGUAGGCGGAAUUCCCGGUGUAGCGGUGAAAUGCGUAGAGAUCGGGAGGAACACCAGUGGCGAAGGCGGCCUACUGGGCUUUAACUGACGCUGAGGCACGAAAGCAUGGGUAGCAAAC